rnacentral:misc_RNA from 1 species
GCGCUUUCUAGUUUCUAUGAUUCUUCCUUCUCACCAUAUAAUUGGAAAAAAAAAUGUCAAUCCUUUCUCUCUCCUUUUCUCCAUUUCCAAAUUCAUCUCUCUCUCAUCUCAGUUCCCAUGCUCCCUCCCGUAUCCAAUCACUCCAUCCUUCUUCAUCCAUGACCCUCCUCAAACCUCUCCACCACCAUCUCCGUCGCCGUCUCUCCAUCUCCGCCGCCGCAGCCGUCCGUCAAGACACUAAUCUCUGGACAACCGCGCCUCUCGUCACUGUUUCACCUGCCGCGGAAUCUCUCUUCCACGUCACCAUCGACGUGUCCGAUUACCCAGACCUAGCUAACUCACACACCAAGGCAGGUCAAUAUCUUCAGCUUCGGAUUCCUGACGUGGAGAAACCGUCGUUUUUAGCGAUUGCAUCUCCGCCUUCGCUUGCUGCAGCGAAAGGUGUGUUUGAGUUCCUUGUGAAAAGUAUUUCUGGCUCUACGGCGGAGCUACUAUGUGGAUUGCAGAAAGGGGAUGUUGUGGAGUUGAGUCAGGUUAUGGGGAAAGGAUUUGACUUGGAUCAAAUCUCUCCUGCGGAGGAGUAUCAGACGGUCGUGAUUUUUGCAACCGGAUCUGGAAUCAGCCCAAUUAGAUCCCUGAUUGAGGCAGGGUUUGGUGCAGACAGGAGAUCUGAUGUUCGGGUAUAUUAUGGUGCACGGAAUUUGAAGAGAAUGGCAUAUCAGGAUAGGUUUGAAAACUGGGCAUCCUCUGGGGUUAAGGUUGUGCCAGUGUUGUCUCAGCCUGAUGAUGCUUGGAAAGGUGAAGACGGCUAUGUUCAGGCAGCAUUUGCCCGAGCUAAAAACAUUUUUAAUCCUCAAUCCACCGGAGCAGUCCUCUGUGGUCAAAAGCAAAUGGCUGAGGAGGUGACUUCUCUUCUUGUAGCAGAUGGAGUCUCAACCGAGAAGAUUCUGAAGAACUUCUGAACAAUUCCAAUUUUGGUUCGUCGUGUUGUAUUAUUGUCUAGUAUAAAAUCAAUUUAUUCGAUUUCACCUGCUGGCUUCAAGGUAUUCAGCAUGGUCAAACAACAUAAUGUAACAAUGUUAGCCAUCAGCCAUCAGGCUAUACAAAGUCCAAUGUGGCUCGUAAUAUGCAUUCAAUCAAAAUUAAUUGUUGAAUAGUCAGUACUAAAGAAGGAAAAGGCUAUAAUACCACUGUUCUGGCUAGUUUUUGUUUAUUGAGUAGGGAGGCUCAAGAUGUUAAUUGAUGCUAUUUUUUGUGUGUUUGUUGCGUUACCACUAGAAUUU